UACAGAGGGUGCGAGCGUUGUCCGGAAUCACUGGGCGUAAAGGGCGCGUAGGCGGCUUGAUAAGGUUGCGGUGAAAGCCCGGGGCUCAACCCCGGGUCGGCCGUGGCAACUGUCGAGCUGGAGCACUGUAGAGGCAGGUGGAAUUCCGGGUGUAGCGGUGGAAUGCGUAGAUAUCGGGAGGAACACCUGUGGCGAAGGCUGCUUUCUGGGCCCUACCUGACGCUGAGACGCGAAAGCGUGGGGAGCGAACCGG
rnacentral:rRNA from 1 species